rnacentral:piRNA from 1 species
UAACCCUGAGUUGCUGAUUUUACUCACAGC